GCUGAAAGAGCUCCGUUGGCUAGAGCAUGUGGCUGUUAACCACAAGAUCGGAGGUUCAAGCCCUUCUUCUUAAUG